rnacentral:lncRNA from 1 species
UCCUAUAUUUAUUAAAUGAUUAUCAGUCAGCAUAUCAAUUAGAUUCACAACCAUCAUUGACUACAUUCAAGCAUGAGCUGCUUUGCACUUCCAAGUCCGCGAGCUAAGAUAAGUCCAGCAGCAACAAUUCACGGUAUCGUGAUAAGCACAGCGGAUUAUAUACCCAAUUUAACUCCACCAACAAAAACCAGGGUUUAAAAAUAACUUCUAUUGCAGGAUUUCCAAGUGGACCAACACCAUCAAAUAGCAACGAAAUACGACAUUGGAUAACAUACCGGUGCAGAUCCAAUCGCCAAUCCGAGGAAGCCAC